AAAAGUUUUUAAAAAUAAUUGCACGUUUAUUAACAUAGCUAAGAUAAAAUCAUUUUUAGUAAAUAUUCCAAUUUGAAAUGUACACGAAUUGAAUAUGUUUUAGGAGUUACCUAAUUUCAAACAAUGAACAUUGUAUUGGAAAUAUUGGAAAUUAAAAUACAUAAACUCUUCGACCAACGACCCAUAUCAGUGCAUAAAGUUUGUUCGAAACAUUCAUAUUUACAACAAAUCAAGAUUGAGUGCAGAGAUGACGGGAAAUUCAUUAAAACUGGUCUUUCUUUAAUGUUGUACACAUUGAAAAAUCAUAAAGAUUAAACAAAUGACAUUAAACUUGUUCAUAUAUUGCAUGCACAUGAUACUUUGCUGUCAAUAAGCCUUAAAUCGUCUCAUAGUGCUAUGAAAAAAUCCUUAUUGAUACUAUGACAAGUGCUUCCAUUGUUGUACAAUGCUAAAUAUGUCACUGAUUAACAUGUUUAAUUUCCUGAUUCAUGACUACAUAUAUUGAUAAAAAAACCUGAAAAUCG
rnacentral:sRNA from 1 species